rnacentral:lncRNA from 1 species
UACCCCACCUACCACACCCAUGGGCGCUAUGUGCCCCCUGGCAGUACCAAACAGAGUCCCUUUGAGGAGGUUUCUGCAGGCAACGGUGGCAGCACUCUCUCUUACACGAACCUGGCAGCCACUUCCGCCAACUUGUAGGGGCACGUUGCCUGCUGAGCAUCCAGCCAGCACCAACUGCCUCCCUGGGUUUCUUCACUGCUGCAGCCCCCGCCUUGCCCCCAACUCUGUUCUGGGCUGGUGAGCUGGGCGUUCAGGUGGGCUGCCCACCGUCUCCCUCACCUAUCUUAGCCCUGGUGAAGCCCAUCCGAGCCCCUGGGGACAAGCCUGAGGCAGUGGCUCCCAGGAGGACUGGCCCGGACAGCUCAGAGAUGGGAGUGGGAACCUGAACACGGCUGAAUAAAACUUGGGCCUCCUCUGCGCUAACCGCCAACUUUUUUUUUUUUUUUUGCGGUACGCGGGCCUCUCACUGUUGUGGCCUCUCCCGUUGCGGAGCACAGGCUCCGGAUGCACAGGCUCAGCGGCUAUGGCUCACGGGCCCAGCUGCUCCGCGGCAUGUGGGAUCUUCCCGGACCGGGGCAUGAACCCGUAUCCCCUGCAUCGGCAGGCGGACUCUCAACCACUGCACCACCAAGGAAGCCCAACCGCCACGCCAACUUUUGAUCUGUCUUCUGUGACCUGUUGAUAGAGGGUAGGUCAAAAUGUGUGUGAGGGGGUCUGGAAGAGACCUUGGGAAAGGAGAGGGAGGAAAGAAGGCCAGAGGAAGCGGGGUUCACUUGAGAAGUAGGUGACAUCGGGGCGCAGGAGUGCUUGGUGGAAGAACUCGAAUCACCUGUCACCUCUCCUGCAUGGCUGGCGGCGCAAGAGGAAGGAGGAAACGAAACCCAGCGGCUCCAUCGGCCAGCGUGACCCUGCUCCGCCCGCACGCCCGUCCGUGGCUCUCCCUUUUCCUCGGGCCUGGUUUUCACUCCCACGCCCUCCUCUCCCCUGGGCGCGGUGCCCCCAGGCGGCUCUAUUCUUAGCUGUCCGGGUGUGAAGUAAGUCCUCGGGCGGCGAUAACAGCUGCAGAGUCAACAGGGCCACGAUAAAGCUCCAUGUCAUAUCCGGGGACUGGCACCGGACCCGGGCCCCUCCCUGGCCGCCCCGCCCGUCUCUGGCUCUGGGGUUGGCUACCUAGCACCCCGGGAAUGGGGAAGUCGUUCUGGUUCCCUGGUCCCUUUGGGCCCAGGCAUGGGGCCCGCC